rnacentral:rRNA from 1 species
UCUGGUUGAUCCUGCCAGUAGUUAUAUGCUUGUCUCAAAGAUUAAGCCAUGCAUGUCUAAGUACACACGAAUUAAAAGUGAAACCGCAAAAGGCUCAUUAUAUCAGUUAUGGUUCCUUAGAUCGUUAACAGUUACUUGGAUAACUGUGGUAAUUCUAGAGCUAAUACAUGCAAUUGAAACACGGACCUUAUGGGACAUGUGCUUUUAUUAGGCUAAAACCAAGCGAUCGCAAGAUCGUUACAUUGGUUGAACUCUAGAUAACAUGCAGAUCGUAUGGUCUUGUACCGACGACAGAUCUUUCAAAUGUCUGCCCUAUCAACUUUUGAUGGUAGUAUCUAGGACUACCAUGGUUGCAACGGGUAACGGGAAAUCAGGGUUCGAUUCCGGAGAGGGAGCCUGAGAAAUGGCUACCACAUCUAAGGAAGGCAGCAGGCGCGUAAAUUACCCACUCCCAGCUCGGGGAGGUAGUGACGAAAAAUGACAAUACAGGACUCAUAUCCGAGGCCCUGUAAUUGGAAUGAGUACACUUUAAAUCCUUUAACAAGGACCAAUUGGAGGGAAAGUCUGGUGCCAGCAGCCGCGGUAAUUCCAGCUCCAAUAGCGUAUAUUAAAGUUGUUGCUGUUAAAACGUUCGUUGUUGAACUUGUUCCUCAUACGGGUAGUACAACUUACAAUUGUAGUUAGUACUAUACCUUUAUGUAUGUAAGCGUAUUACCGGUGGAGUUCUUAUAUAUAAUUAAGUACUUGUAUUUUUUUAUAUAUUCCUCCUAUUUAAAAACCUGCAUUAGUGCUCUUCAUCGAGUGUUAUUGUGGGCCGGUAAAAUUACUUUGAACAAAUUGGAGUGCUUAAAGCAGGCUUCAAAUGCCUGAAUAUUCUGUGCAUGGGAUAAUGAAAUAAGACCUCUGUUCCGCUUUCACUGGUUUUCAGAUCAAGAGGUAAUGAUUAAUAGAAGCAGUUUGGGGGCAUUAGUAUUACGACGCGAGAGGUGAAGUUCUUGGACCGUCGUAAGACUAACUUAAGCGAAAGCAUUUGCCAAAGAUGUUUUCAUUAAUCAAGAACGAAAGUUCGAGGUUCGAAGGCGAACAGAUACCGGAUACUUAUCAGGUCCGAACAUAAGUGUGUAAGACAGAUUGAUAGCUCUUUCUCGAAUCUAUGGGUGGUGGUGCAUGGCCGUUCUUAGUUCGUGGAGUGAUUUGUCUGGUUAAUUCCGAUAACGAAAGAGACUCAAAUAAAUUAAAUAGAUAUCUUCAGGAUUAUGGUGUUGAAGCUUAUAUAGCCUUCAUUCAUGGUGGCAGUAAAAUGUUUAUUGUGUUUGAAUGUGUUUAUAUAAGUGGCAAUAAUGAGAUUGAGCAAUAACAGGUCUGUGAUGCCCUUAGAUGUCCUGGGCUGCACGCGCGCUACCAUGAAAGUAUCAACGUGUAUUUCCUAGACCGAGAGGUCCGGAUAAACCACUGAACCACUUUCAUGCUUGGGAUUGUGAACUGAAACUGUUCACAUGAACUUGGAAUUCCCAGUAAGUGUGAGUCAUUAACUCGCAUUGAUUACGUCCCUGCCCUUUGUACACACCGCCCGUCGCUACUACGGAUUGAAUUAUUUAGUGAGGUCUCCGGACGUGAUCACUGUGACGCCUUGCGUGUUACGGUUGUUUCGCAAAAGGUGACCGGACUUGAUUAUUUAGAGGAAUUAAAAGUCGUAACAAGGUUUCCGUAGGUGAACCUGCGGAAG